GGCAAGUUGUAUUGGGUCCUGAAAAAGAAGGAUUUUGGCAGUACCAACUGAGGCAGAAUCACCACAAUCAGAGUAUACAGGGAAGAGACAGAAAUGGAGCUGAGAGGCCUGUGAACAUGGCAAUGUCUGGUGCUUGGCCUGCUCUACAACAAUCUCACCACCACCACCACCACCAGAAACAGCCACCACCACCGCCGCCUGUCUCCGGCAUGCGUGCUGUUAUCCUUGGAAAUGCUGCACCCAAAAGAGAAUGUGCUGGAACAGGGGUGUUCAUUCCCAGAAGAGUUGGAGCUCAAACUGAAACUCGCAAAAAACCAGGUUGCUCCACAGUUCUUCUGCCAGACAGAGUGGUCCAAGCUCUGAAUUUGCAGCCUCAGGUUCAACCCAGAUGUAAUAAUGGUGGUGGGGUUAUGAAGUAUCGGAAUAUGGGAGAACAACAAUGGCGAAAUUUAAGAAGUCAGGCAGCAGUAGAAGCCAUAUCUCAAGAACAUCAACUUCCUCAGGAGUGGACUUACUAAAAAUCUACUGACUCAGAAGAAAACUUGUGUUUAGUUUUUGGUAGUGAAGAUUUCAGAUUUGUUUGUUUAGUUGAAAAAAGGAAUGGGUUUUUGGGGUUAGUAAUUUUAGGGUUAUAUGAUAAACUAAUUUCAUAGUAAGGUAAGAUGAAGAAGAAGAAGGAGGGGGUAGUAGAAGACAAGGCUCUAGAUUCAAGAAGAAGAAAAAGUAGAUUUUUAGGUACUCUUUUGUUUUGGAUUAAGAUUAGAUUAUACUUAAGUAUAUGACAAAAAUAAACUUGUUUAGUCAAUCAAGAAAUGGGGGAGAAAGUUGACUGUGUCUUGUUUUGGUUGUGGGAUACUUGAAAUACAGUCUAAUUUUCUCUUUUUUUGGUUUAAUCAG
rnacentral:misc_RNA from 1 species